UGAGAUAGACUUGGAUACCAAGACCCUUUUAGAAUGCUUUCCAAAAGUGAGAAGUGAACUAGGUACCUCUGUCUGAGAUGAUGGAUAAUGAAAUACCAUGUAACCUGACUAAGUCCCUGAUAUAUAGUUUUGCAUAAUCCUCGGCAGAUUAAGAAGUAUGAAUAGGAAGGAAAUGUGUUGACUUGGUCAUUCUAUCUAUGAUGACCCAGAC
rnacentral:lncRNA from 1 species